CCGGGGCAGCAGUUCUGAAGCCAACAGAGUUAACUGGGAGAAAGAUGCUUGCUUAAUAUUUCUGGAGACUCCAAAGAAGCAGGCUCAGGGACCGGGACUGGCACUGAGGUUUCCUAUCUCCCGACUACCAGUUAUGUGUGUUCUAUUAAGCAGCACAGCUUACUAAUUGCCGGGUAUUGUCCACAAUCACAGCAGACAGCAAUCUCCACAGGGGGUCUGGCAGGCUGGAGUGAAAAGGAACAUGGAAGUUCAAGUGGUCUCAGCUUGGCAGGGCCUUGAGAAAACAUGUUGACUACCAGCUGCUUCAUCUUACUGUGGGAUAGUUACAUGCAUGUGCAUCUAUAGCCAUGUGCAGGAUUCAGCCCAUAUCAGGUUUUGGCACAUCACUACACAUAUUCAAAAAGAAUGGUUGUCCAACGCUAAACCUCAAGUGUGGCAGUGAAUGUACAAAGCCAAUUUGCCAUAGUCUGACACAGAUGGAGCCAAGAUGGCCAAGGCUUUUUAUUUUGCUGCUCAGCACCGAAAAGGUUGCAUUAAUUUUCACAUUCUGCAAAACUCUGAGCCUACCAUAAACUAUAAAUACUAGCUACUGUGAGAGCUUGCAUAUGAUGGAUUUGAGAGAGGAAAGUGCACAGACAUUAAAAAUAAAAGCAAUGCUCAGAUAGCUGUGGGGCAAAUGAACAAAGAAGACUUUUUAUUAAGCAGAACCCUGAAAUGCUCAGGCUUCCACACUACGAGGAAGUGAAACAUCAAAGCAAAUGUUCCAAAUAUGAUUUCCCUCAGCCUUUGUGCCUCCUUCCCAUUCAUUCAUUCAUUCAUAUCCCACCUUUCCUCCCAGUAGGAGCCCUAUGACUUGGAAACUCUACUGCUAUGGUAAAAAGAGAGUUCAGCUUCUUAAGGAAGCCCUGUAAUGAAGCUCUUUGGCUGAAUGCCAUCCACCAGAGAUGGACUGGAUUUCAAUUAACUUUUUAUUUUUUUACCAAGAGCACUGAACCAAUAGCUAGACUUCAGGUUUCUGCCAAUCCAAGUCUAGCCUGGGUUUAAGACUACAGGUUUUGAGGCACACACAUACAGAUCACAGCAAACAUCUUCUUGCAAUGCACUGCACUAACCACUAACCUUGGCAAGGCUUGAAUGCUGAAUCAUGGACACCUAGGCUGCCAAAUAAGAAGGAAGCAACUGAAAUGAACUGGGCCUUUUCCCCAUACAUUACCUGAAAAACCAUCAGCCGGUGCCUGACAGAGGUUAAUGAGGCCAUUGAGACAUGAGGCCUGAGGAUCAAAGCUUUGCAUGGGCUAUUGGCAACAGCCAUCAAACCUCAAGCUCUCUGCAGCACAGAAGAAAACCACAAUCAACUCUUCCGCCGGUAAAGAUGUCAAGGUCACUAUUGCUUCUAAUCAAUUGUGUUAGGGCCAAGGAAGAUUUCAGAAUGGCAAUAUUUUGCUCUAGACCAGUGCUUCUUAACUGGUGGGGUGCCCCCCGGGGGGGACAUGUAAAGA